GUCAAGAGUCAAGUAGAAUCCAGAUCACGUUCACUAUUUUGAAGAGCUGCUUGAACAUUCAAAAAAGAUUUAGUUGUAAAGUCUGCUUACUACACACUACAAAACACCCCCAACAAUGAACUGUCAACACUGUGGGGGCAGAGUGAGGAGAAGGGACGGCAGGCAUGGAGGACAUCAUAAUGAUAUGAUGGCUGUUUUUCAGAACUUUGAACCUUCCCUUCCAAUAAAUGGCGAGGUGACUCGCUGUUACAGUUUAGGGGGUGGGCUUUACGGUCUUUAUAAAGUGGUCCUGGAGAAUGGCGAAGUUGUUUACACUAAACAAAGGAUCUAUUUUGGACAUCAUUAAGAUCUGAUGCACAAUACCCCAGAUCAACUGUUUUACUCAGUUAUUGCUUUGUCUCCAAUUUCAGUGUUUCUAUUUACUUUAAUUUGUUAUCACUAGUACAGUUGCUGUGAUUCUGUCGUAUAUAAAAUAUUUGUCUCAUAUAUUAUCAACUGAAAUAAAACAAAAUACUUGUUUGGGUUGCUAUGCUAUAUGCUGUUUAGUCUCCUUUUUGUUCCACUUUUGUUUUCCUGUUGUUGUUUUUUUGUGGAUUUGCUGGAAGCUUGUGUAUCUUGUGUAUCUCAUUAUUAUUACUGACAUCAUCAGUGUACAGAAACUUUGACAUGAAAUGAUACAUAUUCAUGUCAUGGAACUAAUAUAUACAGUAGAAUUAAUAAAAUAUACAUACAUACAUAGAGGUAAAGAAUAACAGUGUGUAUUUUUUUAGGGCUGUCAAACAAUUAAUCACGAGUAAUCGCAUACAAAAUA